UGCCAGCCGCCGCGGUAACACGGGGGGCGCAAGCGUUAUUCGGAAUUAUUGGGCGUAAAGGGCGCGCAGGCGGUCUUGUCCGUCAGGUGUGAAAGCUCGGGGCCCAACCCCGGAAGUGCACUUGAAACAGCGAGACUUGAGUACUGGAGAGGAAAGCGGAAUUCCUGGUGUAGAGGUGAAAUUCGUAGAUAUCAGGAGGAACACCGAUGGCGAAGGCAUCUCUCUGGACCGAUACUGACGCUGAGGCGCGAAGGCGUGGGUAGCGAACGGGAUUAGAUA
rnacentral:rRNA from 1 species